rnacentral:miRNA from 15 species
AAUUACACGUUGAUUUUACAAAUA